GACUAGUGUGGUGGAUCACUCGGCUCGUGCGUCGAUGAAGAGUGCAGCCAACUGUGUGAAAUAAUGUGAACUGCAUACUGCUUUGAACAUCGACAUCUUGAACGCAUAUUGCGGCUACGGGAUAU
rnacentral:rRNA from 1 species